AUUGAACGCUGGCGGCAGGCCUAACACAUGCAAGUCGAGCGGAUGGAGGGAGCUUGCUCCUGGCUUCAGCGGCGGACGGGUGAGUAAUGCCUAGGAAUCUGCCUGUUAGUUUGGGAUAACGUCCGGGAACGUGCGCUAAUACCGCAUACGUCCUGAGGGAGAAAGUGGGGGAUCUUCGGACCUCACGCUAUCAGAUGAGCCUAGGUCGGAUUAGCUAGUUGGUGGGGUAAAGGCCUACCAAGGCGACGAUCCGUAACUGGUCUGAGAGGAUGAGCAGUCACACUGGAACUGAGACACGGUACAGACUCCUACGGGAGGCAGCAGCGGGGAAUAUUGGACAAUGGGCGAAAGCCUGAUCCAGCCAUGCCGCGUGUGUGAAGAAGGUCUUCGGAUUGUAAAGCACUUUAAGUUGGGAGGAAGGGCAGUAAGUUAAUACCUGGCUGUUUUGACGUUACCAACAGAAUAAGCACCGGCUAACUUCGUG
rnacentral:rRNA from 1 species